UGGCUGGCCAGCAGAAGACAGCGAGUGGUAGUGGAAGGAAAAUAUUCUGCCUGGAAGUCAGUGGGCCAUAUAAACAUAUCUUCAAAUUGACCGAGACCAUUUUCUGCUCAGGGUAUGGCUCUGUGUAUGACAGCAGCAAUGAUGCACCGACAUGGAACAGGGAAUGUGAUGGAGACAUAGUUUGGACAAUGUACAAGGAGACCUCACAUGGUCCAGUUUGGGAGAGAAUGACAUUAUUGUGUGAUUCAACUCAGAGAGGGAGAAAAUGUCAUCUGCCCGAGAAGAAACGGCCUAUUGCACUCUCUCUCCUUCAUUAUUCCUCAUCACAGUAACGUGUACGAGCUAAAACAAAACUCUACUGUUAUUGUUACCAUUCUUAUUUUUAUAGAAUCUCAGCAGUGUGGAAACAAGCCCUUCGGCCCAACAAGUACAUACCAACUUUCCAAAGAGUAACCUUCCCAUGCCCUUACAGUUACCACUGACUAGUGCACCUAAAGUAGAAAUCGCGGAACACGAUGGACUAUUUGACCAAUCCACUUGAAUUAUACAGCUUUGGGCUGUGGCAGGAAACGGGAGCACCCAUCAGAAGCUCACGCAGACAAGGGGAGAAGAUCCAAACUCCACGCAGAUAGUCACCCGAGGCUGGAAUUGAACUCAUGUCCCUGAUGCUGUGAUGGAACAGUGUGAACUACUGAGCCACUGUGCUAACCUGGAACCUCCUGCCAGCCUAAUGCAAAGGGAAUUCAGCCAAAUCCAACUCUCCCAGGAUAAAAUCCCAUUGCUAGCAGCUGUGUGAGUGGAAUAUCUUCAGAAGCAGAAUCACAUUUUGGACAAUCUCUCAAUUUUUCCUUUUGUCAUGAGUUACACUAAUAUUUGGAUAAGGUUCUUUCAACGUGAAAUUGCACAGAUUUGUGUGUGUGUGUGUGUGUGUGUGUGUGUGUGUGUGUGUGUGUGUGUGUGUGUGUGUGUGUUUGUGUGUAUCAGUGUUUUUAGAAUGGGAAAUAUCGAGUCUUUAUUUGCAAUACGCAAACAGUUUGCCAUCCAUCUUUCCAUCAUAGUUGGAGUAACAUUGCUCUGGAUCGUAAACGUGUUGUUUUAGCAGAUUACAGAAACUAGCCUGACUUGUUCCUAAAACUGACCCUGACCCAGUCUGAGACCGAUAUCAUCGGCCAUAUCACCGACCUGGUUACAUUUAACAUUUGUUGUGAGCAGUGGAGGAGUGGGACUAGAAAAGGAGACAGUGACCCAAAAAGCCGGGGAACUAUAGACCGGUGAGCCUGAUGUCAGUGGUGGGUGAGUUGUUCGAAGGGAUUCUGUGGGAUAGCAUUUACAUACGUUUGGGAAGGCAAGGACUGAUCUCAUUAAUGUCUCAUUAAUUUGAUUGAGUUUUAUGAAGAGGUGACAAAGAAGAUUGAUGAAGGCAGUUUGGUAGACAUUGUCUAUGUGGACCUCAGCAAGGUGUUCAUAACAUUCCGAUUGGUAGGCAGAUUAGGAAGUUUCAGUCACAUGGGAUACAGAAGAAGCUCAUCACAAUUGGCUUGAAGGAAGAGGGAUAUUUUUCAGACUGGAGGCUUGUGAGCAGAAAUUAUACACUUAAUGGUAAGGGCCUGGGGAGUGUUGUGAAACAAAUGGACAUAAGGCUGCAGGUACAUUGUUCCUUGAAAGUGAAGUUGAAUGCAGACAGUGCGGUACUGAACACAUUUGCCUUAAUCAGUCAGAGCAUUGUGUAUAGGAGUUGUGGUGGAGGGAAAUGGGGUUAGCGUGGAUGGACAUUUACAAGGUGGAGUCGAACCCUUCUGUUAAUUAAAACCAAACACCCAGAAAAGCUCGCCUCACCUCGUAAUCUGUUAAAAUAUGAGCGACACAGAUCUCCUACAUUCCACUAUUUAAACAAAGAUUAACAAGUUUAUUUCUUAACUUUAUUAGUGAAAACUAAACAACAGCUAUUCACAAAUACAAGCCCCUCUUUUCUUAGCUACUUACUAUCUGACUCCAACUCUGUAAAAAGUAUGUUGUUCCAACAACCCACAUAUUAAACAUUACAAUCUCAAGACCAUACAGUCUCUAUCUUCCCCGCUGUAUUCACUCUUUCAGCUGCUGAUCUCCUUGGUUCAUUUUUUUUAUUGCAAAGAGGUUUGCAUGAACAUGUGUCUUUGAUAGAGUGUGUUUGAGAUGGUCAGUUAGCACUCCUGCUCUACAGCAGUUGCUCUACUGUUGGAUGGCAGUAGCUCUCUCUAGUGUUCAAAAUGCUGGGUUUAUAUACUCCCCAUGAUAUAAUAAUUCUCAUAAUUUGAUUGCUUUCCAGGCGUCCAAACAAUAAUAUUCAAAUUCUGUUGGCUUCUGGUAUCCUGAGUGUUAUUUAAACUCUUUGGUUACAUUUGUAUGGCUGUCAAAACAGCAACCAAAACUCAGGAAUCCAUUUCUCAGCUAAUGGUGACAUGUGGAACAGUGUGACCUUCAGCUGGCAUCUGUGGCUUUAAUUUCUAUUCAGCAAAACCCGAUCUGUUUUAAAGUGUCCAUAUAUGUUUUUGUCUUCAUAACAUCUCCCCGCUUCAGAAAAUAAAAUGAACUAGCUGAAUGAAAA